CUGGAUAUUAGCAAAGUUCUCUUUCCUCUUGAAUUUCAUCGCGUGCACAUGUGUUAAUUCUUCUUGAAGAUUGGUGGCCCUCGGAGACUGAAUUGACAAUGGAAAAGAUAAAAUCGAGAAUUGAAGGACGCAUUAUGAAAGUUUCCUGACUUAUUUUUGUUUAAAAAAAUUGGAAUGAAUAAAAAUGUAUCAACACAGUUACCUAACAACGUGUUAUGGAUUUCGAUAAAUCCCUCUUGAUGCAAUGCUCGCAUAAAAUGAUACUCAUGUAAACGGUAAUGGAUGUAAUGGAUUGACAUAGUAUCGCAACAUUGGGAAGGACAACCAGUCGAAAACGGUCAUUCACAUGUGAUCAUCGAGAACUUAAAAAGGCGUAUUCUUGAUUUUGGGAAAGGUGUCUUCAUAUUUGGUAUGCCCUUUACUAUGAUAGCAAUGAUGAAUUAAAGGUGUGUGUUGUACCAUGAAAUUAUUGUUUUAGAUUUUAUAUGAUGAAACCACAUGGCUUUUCCUUUUGCGGUUUCCACCAGAAGUUCGCUUAUGAUGGCUAGGAUUGUCUGAUUAAACAAAAACUUAUUAACACAUUUUUUAAACAUUUAUAUAUUAAAGGCUAAUAAAUUGUUUUCCUUCAA